GACCGCUCAGGUGGCCUAAUUGGUUAGAGCGCCCGCCUCGGAUGCAGGAGGUCGUGGGUUCGAACUCCGACCGAGUCA